rnacentral:rRNA from 1 species
GAUGAACGCUAGCGACAGGCCUAACACAUGCAAGUCGAGGGGCAGCACAAGGUAGCAAUACUGAGGUGGCGACCGGCGCACGGGUGAGUAACGCGUAUGCAACCUGCCUGUAACAGGGGAAUAGCCUCUUGAAAGAGAGAUUAAUGCCGCAUAAUACGAGAUUCGGGCAUCCGGAUUUAGUUAAACAUUUAUGGGUUACAGAUGGGCAUGCGUUUCAUUAGGUAGUUGGUGAGGUAACGGCUCACCAAGCCGACGAUGAAUAGGGGUUCUGAGAGGAAGGUCCCCCACACUGGUACUGAGACACGGACCAGACUCCUACGGGAGGCAGCAGUGAGGAAUAUUGGUCAAUGGACGCAAGUCUGAACCAGCCAAGUCGCGUGAAGGAUGAAGGUAUUAUGUAUUGUAAACUUCUUUUGUCAGGGAAUAAUGGGUGUCACGUGUGACGCAGAGGAAUGUACCUGACGAAUAAGCAUCGGCUAACUCCGUGCCAGCAGCCGCGGUAAUACGGAGGAUGCGAGCGUUAUCCGGAUUUAUUGGGUUUAAAGGGUGCGUAGGCGGUUUGUUAAGUCAGUGGUGAAAGUUUGCGGCUCAACCGUAAAAUUGCCAUUGAAACUGGCGAACUUGAGUACAGUAGAGGUAGGCGGAAUUCGUGGUGUAGCGGUGAAAUGCUUAGAUAUCACGAAGAACUCCGANUGC